GAAUCUCUGUGUCGAUCUCCCUUCCCGUCGUUUCUUCUUCUAUACAUCUCCCCAUUCGUUUCGUAAUCAAGUGUUCCAUUGCCAUUAAAAGCCUUCUUAACUCCUUGGACCCACGGAAACCAUGGUUCCUCACUCAGUGCUCCUUAAAGGCGGUGGAAGUCCACCUAUAAAAAGGCGACACUGAUGUUCAGGCCUGCUCAUGCUAGCCACCGUCAAAGUCCACCGUCUCACCAGCUAUGUGAUUCGGUUCAAUGAUUCAACCACUUUGGAUGAGAUAACCGAGUCACCUAAUCAAGUUGAGUGCACUCCGCCAUAUCAGUUAGAUGUAAAGGCUUAAUCUUCAACCAUAUGGUGUUCAUCGUGAACGUUCAUUUUCGCCAAUGCAACCCAAGUAAAAUGGUCUGUGCAAGUGUGUUUAUUCCAGCAAUAUUCAUAUGGUUCUAGACCCCAGUGUUCGAGCAAAACAGCAAAUGAUUUCGUUCUAAGGCAUGAGGGAGAGAGCAAAACAAGAGGCUGGAACCAGAAAAGCAGAGGAAAAGAAGGACAAGCAUGUGUUUAAUGUGAAGCUGGAGAAGUUACAGCUGCAAAUCACUUGCGGUUUUACCAAAAGUUCUAACGGGCGUUUCGCUGUUUUUUUUUUUUGGGCACUUUGGUGAUCAAUGAAUCUCUAACAAAAAGUUAAUUUAAAAAUGCUCUGAAACACUGGUGGGAUUCUACAGAAUCGGCAUCGUACGUUUGUUUGUGAGAAAUGAAGGGCUUUACAAAGCUUAUGGAGGGUGGCUUUGAGAUAAGGUUGAAGAUGAUUUGUGGCUUACGUAGUAUAGCUUUCCACUAACCAUUUUAAAUUAUUUGCUUAUUUCCUUCACCUGUAGUAAAUCUGAAAGAGAACCAACAGAUUACAGAUGUUCCAUAUCUUUUAAAAUAUUAAGUUGUAACCUUGCAAGCC